rnacentral:rRNA from 1 species
CCUACGGGAGGCAGCAGUAGGGAAUUUUCGUCAAUGGGCGCAAGCCUGAACGAGCAAUGCCGCGUGAACGAGGAAGGUCUUCGGAUCGUAAAGUUCUGUUGAAGGGGAAAAAGAGCGGAGAGAGGAAAUGGUCUCCGAUUGAUAUUACCCUUCGAGGAAGUCACGGCUAACUACGUGCCAGCAGCCGCGGUAAU